CUGGGAGGCCCAGGUUGCAGUGAGCUGAGAUCACGCCACUGCACUCCAGCCUGGGCAACAGAGCGAGACUCUGUCUCAGAAAACAUAUUUUUUAAAUUUUUAUUUUAUUUUGAGAAGGAGUUUCACUCUUGUUGCCCAGGCUAGAGUGCAAUGGUGAAGAUCUUGGCUCACUGCAACCUUUGCCUCCCAG
rnacentral:pre_miRNA from 1 species